rnacentral:tRNA from 1 species
GCGGAUGUGGCGGAAUUUGGGUAGACGCGCGGGCUUCAGGUGCCCGUGUCCUUAGGGACGUGGAGGUUCGAGUCCUCUCAUCCGCA